rnacentral:misc_RNA from 1 species
AGAAAAGAAAGACCCAUAAACAGUCGAAGAAAAUUAACAGAGACGGAUUGAUGAUGUUGCAGAUGGAAGGCCUAAGUGAUGAAGAAAGGAAAGCUCUUAGGGGAAGCAAAUUCGCUCCUCUCCCUCCUCCCUCUUCUCGUUCCCACCAACCCAGGUUGGCUCACCCCGGUGGACCAUUGAAGACGAACAAGGCAGCGGCACUAGCCAAGUUUCUGGAGAGGAAACUUCAAGACCCUAAUGGGUUAACUUCCAUCAAUCCCAGCCUUAUUGAAUCAGCGGUCAAAAGCGCCAAGGACACCGUCUUUUCCAGUAAUCAUAUUCUUCCUUCUUUCUUUUUGUCUCUUAUUGAUUAAAAGGGUUUGAUUCAAUAGAAAAAAAAAUAAAAUAAAAUCAAGUCUUGCGAAUUUGGGUUUGGAUGUUUGCUCGGAUUUUAAUGAUCAAAAUUAAGUCUUGCGAAUCUGGGUUUCGAUGUUUGCUCGAAUUUCGAUUAAGUUAGGGCCCUGUCUUAGAAUACAUAUUCAUAUUCGAAACAUGACUCCUAGAUGAGUUAUUUUGAAAGCACUAUUGGAUUAAUUGCUUCUCUAUGUUGUUUUGAAGUUUUUAAACUAUAUUUAGCUAGCAAUUUAUCACUUUUAAUGUGUACCUGUUGAGUGUUUAAGUAGUAUUGUAGUAGUUGCUUAAACUCUUGAGAUUGUGUUUAUUAGUUGUGCAGAGAAUAUCUGCUGCUAAUAUUUUGCUUCGUUUCCUUUUUGUGGGAAAAUCCUUAUUUUACAUGAUGGCAAGUUCUCUCUACAUGUCUUUCAGAUCCACUUAAUGGUUUGAUUUGCUUGUCUAUAUAUGUUCAUGAGAUUUUGGAUCAUAGUAAAGAAACCAUCAAUGGAAGAGAGAGUUAUUUUACUUCGUUUCAUAUGUCAGGUGGCACUUCAAAAUCUGGAAGAAUUAUUCAUCAUGUUACUUCGUUUGGUGACUCUGAGGACUCUGCUGAAGAAGGGAAAGCAGAAAAUCCUUCGUUGAAGAAACAGAAGAAGAAAAAGAAAAAGAAAAAUAAAAAUAAACAUAAGAAGCGAAAGGUUUGUUGUUGAUGGGUUUAUUAGUUACUUCUAUUGUAUUGCAACACUUGAUUGAUAAGAAGCCUUUCUGCUGCAUGCUGCAGAUGGUGGAUGAUAGUGAGCAUGUGAAGUUGAAGAAACCCAAAACUAAGUUGAUCAAGUGAAGGAACAAAUUCUUGGUGGUGGUAAGCCAGAAUUAGUCUGUUCGACCACCUUAUAUCGAAAGAUUAUUUGUGGAUCAGCUUUUUCUCUACUUUUUCCCAAUUGUUGUUAGAAAACUCUUAUUUAAAACUUUUGGGGCCUUGCAAAGGUCGUGGAAGCUGUAGUUAUGGGAUAUUUUUAUAGAUCCCUUGAAGGAUAGCGAUUUUCUUUUAUUCAUUUGUGAGCUAAUUUGUUAAUUAUUAUAGGAAUUGAAAUUGCAUCUAUUACAUAGGCUUCUUGUGAAAACAUGUGCAAAUUAUCAUGAUGCAAUGUGAAUUUGUGUCCAAUCUCUUCUGCAUUGGAAAAUAGCAUCCAUUACAUGUAUCCGUUCCAAUUAUGCACAAUACAAAUUUCAAGCCUAGGUUGUCCAAGACUCCCAAGUCUCAUUUCAUGAUGCAGCAAUAAAUAGAGCGUG